rnacentral:rRNA from 1 species
CCUACGGGAGGCAGCAGUGGGGAAUAUUGGGCAAUGGAGGAAACUCUGACCCAGCAACGCCGCGUGAAGGAUGAAGGUUUUCGGAUUGUAAACUUCUGUCGCGAGGGAUGAAGAAUGACGGUACCUCGUAAGAAAGCCCCGGCAAACUACGUGCCAGCAGCCGCGGUAAUACGUAGGGGGCGAGCGUUGUCCGGAAUGACUGGGCGUAAAGGGAGUGUAGGCGGCAUAUUAAGUUAUGUGUGAAAGCCCGGGGCCCAACCCCGGGACUGCUUUGGAAACUGUGAAGCUGGAGUGCGGGAGGGGCAGGCGGAAUUCCUGGUGUAGCGGUGAAAUGCGUAGAUAUCAGGAGGAACACCGGCGGCGAAGGCGGCCUGCUGGACCGUAACUGACGUUGAGGCUCGAAAGCGUGGGGAGCAAACAGGAUUAGAUACCCCAGUAGUC